GUCACUUUGCCGGAGUGGUUAACGGGAUCGCCUGCUAUAAGACAGAUCUCUAGAUUCUGCACAGUAGCAUCUAGCGGUUGCUCUUUGAGCGCGUGUGUUCGAAUCGCACAGGUGACG